rnacentral:rRNA from 1 species
UUAAGCUAAUAAGAGCGCAGGGAGGAUGCCUUGGCAUCAGGAGCCGAAGAAGGACGUGGUAAGCUGCGAAAAGCUACGGGGAUUGGCAAGCACGAUAUGAUCCGUAGAUGUCCGAAUGGAGCAAUCCACAUGGAGUCAAGUCCAUGUAUCAUAUACUGAAUAAAUAGGUAUAUGAGGGGAACCGCCCGAACUGAAACAUCUAAGUAGGGCGAGGAAAAGAAAUCAACCGAGAUUCUGUGAGUAGUGGCGAGCGAAAGCGGAAGAGGCUAAACCGAGAGGAGCAAUCCUUUCGGGGUUUAGGACUGCAUUUAGUACAAUGAUUGUUAACCGAACAGCAUGGGAAGGCUGAUCAAAGAAGGUGAGAAUCCUGUAGGUGAAAACGAAAGUUGACGAGCAGUAUCCGAAGUACCGCGGGGCACGUGAAAUCCCGUGGGAAGAUGGGGGGACCAUCCUCCAAGCCUAAAUACUACCUGAUGACCGAUAGCGAAAAGUACUGUGAAGGAAAGGUGAAAAGCACCCCGGGAGGGGAGUGAAAGAGAACCUGAAACCCUGUGCUUACAAGCACUUAGAGCACGUCAAAGUGUGAUAAGGUACCUAUUGUAGAAUGGUCCGGCGAGUUAUUGUAUGCAGCGAGGUUAAGUAGUUCAGCUACGGAGCCGAAGUGAGAGCGAGUGUUAACAGCACGUUCAGUUGCAUGCAAUAGACCCGAAACCGGGUGACCUAUCCAUGUCCAGGAUGAAGUGAGGGUAAAACCUCAUGGAGGUCCGAACCCACUCCCGUUGAAAUGGUAGGGGAUGAGGUGUGGAUAGCGGAGAAAUUCCAAUCGAACCCGGAUAUAGCUGGUUCUCCCCGAAAUAGUUUUAGGACUAGCCUCGUGAUCAAGAUUAUCGGAGGUAAAGCACUGAAUGGCCUAGGGGUCGAGAGAUUACCGAAGCCUAUCAAACUCUGAAUGCCGAAUAAUCAUGCACGGGAGUCAGACUGUGUGAGAUAAGUUUCAUAGUCGAAAGGGAAACAGCCCAGACCUACAGCUAAGGUCCCAAAGUACGUUUAAGUGGAAAACGAUGUGAAAUUGCGUAGACAACCAGGAUGUUGGCUUAGAAGCAGCCAUACAUUAAAAGAGUGCGUAAUAGCUCACUGGUCGAGUGACUUUGCGCGGAAAAUUUAACGGGGCUAAAACGUACACCGAAGCUUAGGCUUGCAACUAUGUUGCAGGGGUAGGGGAGCGUUGAAUGAGGGGUGAAGUCGUAGCGAAAGCGACGGUGGACUUCAUUCAAGUGAGAAUGCCGGAAUGAGUAGCGAGAAUUAUGUGAGAAUCAUAAUGGCCGAAAGCCUAAGGUUUUUGGAGGAAGGUUCGUCCGCUCCAAGUAAGUCGGAAGCUAAGGUGAGGCUGAAAAGCGUAGCCGAUGCACAAACGGUUGAAAUUCCGUUACCACAGAAAGAUUUAAACUAAGGGACACUUUUGAAGAGCUGAUGCCGGGUGUUGGUUACCCCGGUCGUAAGGGAACGAAAUUAAGUAGUGAAGUCAGCGUGGAUGAAGGCGAGAAAAGCUUAGUGUAUAUCUUAUGUGUCCGUACCGCAAACCGACACAGGUAGGUAGGAAGAGAAUUCUAAGGCCAACGGGAGAAGGGUAGUUAAGGAACUCGGCAAAAUGUCCCCGUAACUUCGGAAUAAGGGGAGGUUUCUACGGAAACCCGCAGAGAAUAGUCCCAGGCAACUGUUUAUCAAAAACACAGCUCUAUGCUAAAUCGAAAGAUGACGUAUAUGGGGUGACGCCUGCCCGGUGCCGGAAGGUUAAGAGGAGGAGUGAGAGCCCUGAAUCGAAGCCCCGGUAAACGGCGGCCGUAACUAUAACGGUCCUAAGGUAGCGAAAUUCCUUGUCAGGUAAGUUCUGACCCGCACGAAUGGCGUAAUGAUCUGG